UGUGGUGAGCUUCAAGUGUAGCGAAACGGAAGGCCAUGAUGGAAGUAGCUGCUGCAAAUGGCCAUGUUCUUGAAGCGACAAAGUGAAUUAGGGCGUUCUCAUUUGUCUAUCAAAGAGAGUUGAGCUUUCCAACAGUCGGCUUGAACUCCGCUGGCCUAGUUAAACGUUCUGAUCAUGAUGCUUUUGAUGGCAUAGCUCGAGCAGCUGCCUUACUCGCGUUUUGAGCUGCGUAUAUAAUAAGUUAUCAUUCUCGUGUGUUGUCGCAGUUCUAAUAAAUGGUACGAUUACCUUUACGCGCUCGUCCCAAUGUUUGCCUCCAACACACAUCCGGCAGCGAUACCUUGUUGAAUCCGCAUUCCUUCAGUACAUCGGCAAAUGUGCUUUCGAUUCGAUGAAGAUGAGGGAUUUGCAAUUGCACGUACCGGAGCUUCUAAUGCGAUUGUUCCAGUCCCUCCCUGCUAGGAAUCGACUAGUUCCCGUCAGGAUUGACUACUUGGCAGGAAGCUAAGAACCAUUCAAUGUGAUCUAGGCAUUGUAUUCGUUAGAAAUCCAUAUUCGUGCUAUUGGCCCAACGUAAAGUAACUUGCUAUGCUUGAGUAGAGAAUAGAUCGGAGCAUUUUCAUCG